GUGAAUGGAUGCUUUUAAUGGCUUAUAGAUGUGAGUUAUUUUCCUUCAACCAGGGGUGGACAAGCCAGUGAAGACAGACUGUCAGAAUUGCCCGCAGUUGAUCUGUGUGGCUCCCUGCUGGAGCCCUUGAUGUGGUGAAGACGAUGUGGAAGCUUCUGAAAGCUCCUUCUGACUCAAGCAUGCUUUUGAGGUGAGAGCAGAGAGCAGCAGUUGAACUUGGCUGUGGCGAGGACUUCCUGCUCUGAGCC